GAAAAGAAACCAACAGGGAUUGCCCCAGUAACGGCGAGUGAAGCGGCAACAGCUCAAAUUUGAAAUCUGGCUUCGGCCCGAGUUGUAAUUUGCAGAGGAAGUAUUUGGCGCGGUGCCUUCCGAGUUCCCUGGAACGGGACGCCAUAGAGGGUGAGAGCCCCGUCUGGUUGGACACCAAGCCUGUGUAAUACUCCUUCGACGAGUCGAGUAGUUUGGGAAUGCUGCUCUAAAUGGGAGGUAAAUCUCUUCUAAAGCUAAAUACCGGCCAGAGACCGAUAGCGCACAAGUAGAGUGAUCGAAAGAUGAAAAGCACCUUGAAAAGGGGGUUAAACAGUACGUGAAAUUGUUGAAAGGGAAGCGUUUAUGACCAGACUUGUGCCGUGUGGCUCAUCCGGGGUUCUCCCCGGUGCACUCCACACGGUUCAGGCCAACAUCGGUUCUCGUUGGGGGAUAAGAACAGUAGGAACGUGGCCCUCUUCGGAGGGUGUUAUAGCCUAUUGUACGAUACCUUGAUGGGGACCGAGGACCGCGCUUCGGCUAGGAUGUUGGCGUAAUGGUCAUUAGCGACCCGUCUUGAAACACGGACCAAGGAGUCGUCCAUUAGAGCGAGCGUUUGGGUGUAAAACCCGCACGCGUAAUGAAAGUGAAAUUAGGUGAGAGCUUCGGCGCAUCAUCGACCGAUCCUGAAGUUUACGGAUGGAUUUGAGUAAGAGUUUUAACGGACGGACCCGAAAGACAGUGAACUAUACUUGAAUAGGGUGAAGCCAGAGGAAACUCUGGUGGAGGCUCGCAGCGGUUCUGACGUGCAAAUCGAUCGUCAAAUUUGAGUAUGGGGGCGAAAGACUAAUCGAACUGUCUAGUAGCUGGUUACCGCCGAAGUUUCCCUCAGGAUAGCAGUGUUGACCUUCAGUUUUAUGAGGUAAAGCGAAUGAUUAGGGACUCGGGGGCGCUUAUUAGCCUUCAUCCAUUCUCAAACUUUAAAUAUGUAAGAAGCCCUUGUUACUUAAUUGAACGUGGGCAUUCGAAUGUACCAACACUAGUGGGCCAUUUUUGGUAAGCAGAACUGGCGAUGCGGGAUGAACCGAACGGGGGGUUAAGGCGCCAGAAUGUACGCUCAUCAGACACCACAAAAGGCGUUAGUACAUCUUGACAGCAGGACGGUGGCCAUGGAAGUCGGAAUCCGCUAAGGACUGUGUAACAACUCACCUGCCGAAUGUACUAGCCCUGAAAAUGGAUGGCGCUCAAGCGUACUGCCCAUACCCCCCCUUCAGGGUAGAAACGAUGCCCUGAAGAGUAGGCGGCCGUGGAGGUUGUGACGAAGCCUAGGGCGUGAGCCCGG
rnacentral:rRNA from 1 species